UGCUCUCUCCUGCCACCCUGUGAAGAAGAUGCCUUGCUUCCCCUUCGCCUUUUGCCAUGAUUGUCCUGUGCUAAGUCCUUGAAAUGUAUUAUCAUACUCCUCAUAAAACAUUUUAAGAACAGAUGGUUCUACAUCCCACAGUUGGGUGACAAAGAACUUUGGUCUGGGACAUACCAGUGCCUUUCACAGCUGCCAUGCUGUGAAAACACUCAAGCAGUCUCACAGAGUGUUCAAAUGGCAAGGUACUGAGGUGCCCUGGCAACGGCAAGGAACUGAGGCCUUCAUCCAAAGCCAUUAAGUGAGCCAUACUGGAAGCAGGUGCUCCGGUCCCUGGUGGUCUUGAGAUGACAGCAGCUUCAGUGUCUUGACUGCAACCUCAAGAAAGACCUUGAGCCAAAGCCAUCCAGAACAACAGAUGACACGAGAUGUCCCUGCUGGGGAGAAAAACUUGAUGAUCCCAUUGGCAAACCAGCUCCUGAGAUUUGUAUCAAGGCCUCUGCAUCUCACAGCUACCUUGUGUCUCCUCUAUUGAAAAGCUGCUGGGACUUUCAGAGACAUUCUACUAAUGGCAAGUUCUGAGCGUGUGUGUUCAUUGGAAAUUCAGAGAUAAGCCAUUUGUGAACCAGGGAUCUAGAAAACUUGUCAUCAGAUGACGCAUCUAUUUUAGGGGCUGCCGAGCUCCAGGUGGCCUGAUUGCUUGUCUCAGGCUCCCCCCACCACUGGAACUCCAUGCUUAUAGUCUCAGCUAAUGUGGAACACGGUGGGUGUCUAUCCUGAAGGUGGGUUCCUUCUGGGAUGCCACCUGUGCAACCAG
rnacentral:lncRNA from 1 species